rnacentral:pre_miRNA from 1 species
AAUAAGUACAGUUUUGCACUAUUCACGUUCAACGUUUGACCGUCCGUCUUAUUUGAAAAAUUUGUGAAAAAAUUAAAAACAUUUAGUCACACAUAAAGUAUUAUUCAUGUUUUAUCAUCUAAUAGCAAUAAAAAUAAUAAUCAUAAAAAAUUUUCAAAUAAGACGGACGGUCAAACGUUGAACAUAAAUAGUGCAAAACUGCACUUAUU